UUUUUUUUUUUUUUUUUUUUUUAAGAUGUAUUCAUGAAAGAGUGAGAGACAGAGGCAGACACAUAGGCAGAGGGAAAAGCAGGCUCCAUGCAGGGAGCCUGAUGUGGGACUCGAUCCCGGAUCCUGAGAUCGCAGGAUCACGACCUGAACCAAAGACAGGCACUCAACCGCUGAGCCACCCAGCCGUCCCUGGAAGGCUAAUCUUGCAAGGCUUUGUGGGGAGGAUGGUUUCUAGAAGGGGCUAUGGAUGGCAGAUGGACAUCAUAGUACAGAAGAACACAGCCACUGUCAGAAUGGGCCAAACAGUGGGAUUUUCCAUAUCCUACCUCUCUUUUAUCCUGUUCAGUCUUCUGGGGCCUUUGGCUGAACAUAACCAAAAGGCAGAUGGCAAGGCUGACCCAGGGAUGCAAUCUAUAGGGAACAGGAAAGAAGAGUGGAGAAUAAGUCCAAAUGGGGGGCAGACUGAACCAGCAUGGUAGUUGUCUCUGUUGCCAUGGAUGUGUCUGUGUGUCUCCAGAAUUCUAGUGUCCACUAGCCUAGACCUAAAGUGUGGCUGUCCCCCAGACUGUCCUCUCACUUCUUAAUGUCUAUACUCAGACAUCCUGUUAUCUAUCAGAGAGGCCUACUGACAUCCUGUAUGAAGCAGCACCUCCCUACUACUGCUACUAACCUUAUCCAGUUUAAUUCAGCACAGAACCUGCCAAUGCUUGACAUGUUUACUAUUUACUUGUAGGUCUCCCGCAACUAGAAGAUUAACUCUGUAACAGCAGGGCCAUUUUCUCUUUCCUUCACUGCCUUAUCUUCACACAGAAUGGCACUUGUCCUAUAUUAAAUGCUUGGUAAAUGUUGGUCAAAUGAAAAAGGAGUGUAAGUGAGCAUCGUUAGCCCCUCUACCCCAGGGCAGCCCAGCCUUUCCUGAAGACAAUUCUGUCUGGCUUGUUGCCCUCUUGCUACCCAACCUGUACAUAAUUACCUGCUGCCUGGAAAGGAGUGAGUGGGUCACCUCCCAAGUGUGCUCAAGCUUUGGCCCUUCUUCCUUGCCAGCCGUGGAAGAAUGAAAGCGUGUGUUCAUAAAGUAGAUUUAAAGACAUUUCAGUUUGUUUAUGAACUGGAAACCUCCAAGCACCCCUCUGAGCUAGACUCAGCAGUCACUAGCCACAUUUUGGAUAAGCAGACUGAAUUAUAGAGGGCGAGUGACUUGCCAAAGCUGGUAGUGUUACUAGAGCCCAGGCACUGUGACUCAUAAGGGCUGAACUGGGUUUGACAGAAGUGGUUUCACUGAUAUUCCUUAAGGUUUAGGCCCAGCUCUCUAAGCUUAGGAGCAAAGCCCUGGUUCCACCGAUAUUCCCUUUCCUGGCCUCUGCUUUAGCAAGGGCAGGGAGGUUAGUUCCCUGUUCUUCCCUUCUCGUUCCUCCCAUAUACUAAGGAUUGAGGACUUGCCCCUUUUUUCUUUAGGUCUCACUAGAGAGGUAAUAAGUCUUGUGGACUUAGAGAACAGAAUCGGAGUCCUGGCCUCCCACAGCUUCUCUACCAUUCUGGUAACAAGGAGUGCCCUAUAUCACCUGUUGAAGAGGUCAAGUGUACCUUUAUGUAUAUCUGUGAUGUCAUAGCCUUGGUGUCCACACCAAUGUAGAGGUGUACUUCUAUGCAUAGACUGCUGCUGUGCCAGUAUAGACAGGUUCAUGAGCAAUCAGAGAAGACCCUAGAUCCCUGCACCUCUGCUCUCUUGCUUUGUCCAAACAAAGGUAUAUAGUGUUUGCACUAAGGCUGCUAGACAUUGCUCUCUUGAGUUCCCAGAGAGAGGCUAAACAUGCAAAGACAGUGUGAUAGUGUGGGCAGAGAACCCAGGAUCUAGGAUUUGAAGACCUGGAGCUGAGUCCCAUCUCCAACACUUACCCACUGUAUGAACUUGGGCAAGUCCUCUCAGGUUCAAUUUCUUCAUCUGAAAAUGGGAAUAAUACCUAUCUACCUUAAAGGUGGUUAUGAGGAUCAAAUGACAUAUGUGAAAAUGCUUUGAAAUUGGAAAGCAAUGAGGAGGAGGAUACGUAUUAUCGAGGUCUGACAAUAAAGCUUGGGGAAAGAAAGGAUUCUGGAGAGUCAGGCCCUUCAAAUGCUCCCCUCUCUGUCCAAAUGCAUCCAUAUUAUAGAGAAGGAAAUUAAGGUCCAGACAGAGAAAGAAACUUCCCUAAAGUCACAUAAAUGUUGGGGACAACUGGGGUGUAGAACUUGAUCUCCUGACUCCCAAGCCAGUUCUGAUUCUAGUUUGAGGUGGUGGAGAGAACUAAUUUAUCAGUAGGUGCUGAGCCCCCUAAUGAACUCUGGAAUACCCUGUAUUUGGUGAUGGGCAUACAAUUCAGUGUUUUGGUUUCUUAAAAAAAAAAAUAUUUGAGAGAGUGUGAGUAUGCAUGAGUAGGGAGAGGGAGAGUCUGAAGCAGAUUUGGCACUGAGCCACCUAAGCACCUCCAAUUCAGUGGCUUUUAGCAUUUUCAAAGUUGUGUAACCAUCACCACUAUCUAAUUCCAGGACAUUUUUAUCACUCCCCAAAGAAACUUUGUACCCAUUUGUGGUCACUCCUUAUUCCUUUUUCCCCCUAGCCCCUGGAAACCACUCAUCUACUUCCUGUCUUUCUUAAUUUGUCUAUUCUGGACUUCCACGUAAAUGAAAUCCUGCAAAUGUGGCUUUUUGUGUCUGGUGUCUUUCACUUAGCAUUAAUGUUUUCAAGGCUCAUCUGUGUUGUAGCGUUUAUCAGCACUGCAUUGUUUUUUUCUGGCCAAGUAAUGUUCCAUCAUAUGAACAUAUCUCAUUUUGUUUAUGCAUCAAUUGAGGGACAUUUGGCUUGUUUCUGCUUGUUGGCUAUUGUGAACAGUGCUUCUAUGAACAUUCAUGUGUAUGUUUUUAAUUCUCUUGGGGCAUCUUUUAUUUUUUUAAUGCCAAUUUGCCUUUCUAUUUUUAAAAAAUCUCCAUUGAAAUGGGCAUUUUUUUUUUGUAAAUGGUCAGAUACUAUUUUAGGCUUUAUGAGCCAUAUGACAUCGUGUAUAUAGUUGUCGCAACUGCUGAACUCUGCCAUUGUAGAAUAAAAGCUGCCAUAGGCAAUAUAUAAACAAAUGAGCAUGGAUGUGUUCCAAUAAAACUGUAUUUUUUAAUUUUAAUUUUUUAAAAUUUUAUUUAUUCAUGAGAGACACACACAGAGAGACAGAGGCAGAGACAUAGAGGGAGAAGCAGGCUCCCUGUGGGGACCCUGAUGUGGGACUCGAUCCCAGAACCCAGGGAUCAUGACCUGAGCCAAAGGCAGACACUCAACCACUGAGGCACUCAGGUUCCCCUCCAAUAGAACUUUAAACAGACAGUGGGCCAGAUUUGACCUGUGAACCAUAGUUUGCCAAUCCCUAGUCUAGAUAAUACAUUUACAUGAUUCAAUAUUCCAAAGGUAGGGGUGCCUGGGUGACUCAAUUGGUUAAUUGAGUGUUCAAUUAACUCAAUUGAACAUUGGUAUAUUGAGUGUUAAUUAACACUUAAUUGGUGUUCAACUCUUGGUUUUGGCUCCGGUCAUGGUCCCAGAGUGGAAAGAUUGAGCCCCACAUCAGGGGGGAUGCUCAGCAGGGAGUCUGCUUGGGAUUCUCUCUCUCCCUCAGCCCAUCACCUUCACCUCUACUUGCUCUCUCUCUUUCUCUCUCAAAUAAAUACAUCUUUAAAAAAUAUUUCAAAGGUAGAAAAAGUGAAAAUUCUCCCACUUCUGUCUCCCAGCACUAACUGGGUUUCCCUCCUUAGAAACAAUGAUGUAUUUUAUAUUCCUCUUUCAGAGAAAGUUGAUAAAAAGUUUUUUUUUUUUUUAAGAUUUAAUCCAUUUAUUUGACAGAGCCAGAGAGCACAAGCAGGGGGAAGAGGCGGAGGGAGAAGCAGACCUCCUGCUGAGUAGGGAGCCUGAUGUGGGGCUGGAUACCAGGACCCCGGGACCAUCAAGUGAGCUGAAGACCGAGCCUAACUGACUAAGCCAGUCAGGUGCUCCUAAAAAGUCUAUUUUUAAGUGGCUAUGCAAUAUUCCAAUGUAUUGUGUAUACUUUAACAUCCAUGGAAGGACUAAGAUAUCUGAACGCAUGCCCUAAAAGAACAAUGAUCUAGGUGCGUUGCCCUGACCUGCCUAAUUCACUCCUUCAUCAGAAUACUCUCUUGAACUCCUGGGAUUUGCCUAGGAGUUCUGGGGAUCAUGCCUCAUCCCUUUUGGGUCAAAAACAAGCUCUGACUCUUGGAGAUGCAAUACAUUUUUUUAGGUGGUUUAUGUUACAGUUCCACCGGAGAAACAUAACCAGUAGGAAGGAUAUCUGUUUAUCUAUCUAUCUAUCUAUCUAUCUAUCUAUCUAUCUAUCUAUCUAUCUAAUCUAAUCUAUCAUCUAUCUAUCCAUCCAUCUAAUCUAUCUAAUUUAUUACCAGAGUUGGCUUACUCGGUUGUGGGGGCAGGUUGGCAAGUCUGGGAAUAUUAGUGCAGUCUGUAAGAAAGGUCAGGAUGGAAGCUCAGGUGGGAGCUGACACUGCAGUACACAGGUAGAAUUCUUCAGGGAAACCUCAAGCCUUUAAACUGGUUAGAAGUUGGACCACUCAGAUUAUCUAAAACAAUCUCCUUUGUAUAAUGUUAACUGAUUAUAGAUAUUAAUCACAUCUACAAAAUAAUUUCACAGUAACACCUACAUUAGUAUUUGGUUGAAUAUCUAGGUAUUAUAUAUAGCCUAGCCAAGUUAACACAUGAAACUGAUCAUUUUAGUCCACAUCUGGUCAACCCAGCACCCAUAUGCAUCUCCUUAAACUAUACUUAACUUCCAAGUAAAAACAAUAACAAAGUCAUACUGCCACCUAACAUGAUGCAAUUACCCUAGUACAACUGAAAAUGUGCUAACCUUUUCCCCAAAGAGAAUUCAAAGUCUUUGGGUGAUGUUCACUCUUCUCCUUGAUAAUCCUGUAACUUCAAUAAUUUAAGGUAAAGUUAACUAUUAAUAUCUUUUAUGUUAGAAUACAAGGGGGAUAAGAGAGGGAAAAUACACAGAAAUAAAUAUAUUUAUAAUAAAAUAAGGAAUGAAUACUCAUAGUCCCCCUUUCUGCAGUUGGUUGGGUGGUCAUAGGUGGUAUUUAUAACUACCUUCUUCUACUGAUUACAUAUUUCCUUUGCCCUCAGCAAGCACCUUAGUGCUGGUUGUGGUUCUUUUCCUAGCAGAAUGCCCCCAAACCUUCAUUCUUGAAAGGUCUGUGCCAUUAGAAGUUUUGGCUUAAAUUGGGUUGUUACAGUUUCCCUUUGGUUUUAAUCACAGGACAUAAUAGUACCAGUAGAUGCCUUAAGGCUCUCUUAUAUUCCAGACAUACUUUUCCUUACCUCCAUUAUGUAGUAGAAUCCCAAUUUCCCCUUGGUGGUCAGAAUCAACCACCCCAGCUAGUACAGUAACUCCCUCCUUGGUUUGUUGAUUCAGAGGCAUGAGGAGCUGGGGUGGCAGUCCUAACUUCCAAUUCAAUGGAAUCAUGUCUUCUGGGAAAAGUACUCUUCCCUUUGGCAUGAAGACUUAUAGACCAGCAGAGCAUAACGCAAGGAUGGGAAGAAAAAUUGUACUAGUGGGUCACUGGGUGUUACUACUAGUGAAUAGUAACAUUCCAUUUCCACUCCUUAAUUCCUGGAAGCAUGAAUCCUAGCUGUGGGAGAAACAGCACCAUACCUGAAAUGCUGAUAUAGAACAUAUAUAGUAUCCUGAAGUACAUUGCUACAGUCCUGCAAAGUAUUGUCUACUAGAUCUUCAAAAGGCUAUUCAACCUUUAUAACAAGCUGGCUAUUUCAGGAUAAUGGGGUAACAUGAUAAGACCGGUAAAUUCCAUGGACAUGGAUCCAUUGCUGUACUUCAUUUGCUGUGAAGUGAGUUCUUUGAUUAGAAGCAAUGCUGCUUGGAAUACCAUGACGGUGGAUCUGGAAGUCCACAGAUGGUAGUUUUGGCAGAAGCAUUAUAUGCAAGGAAAGCAAAUCCAUAUCCAGAAUAAGUGUCUGUUUCAUGAAGAGCAAAGCACUAUCCCUUCCAUGAUGGAAGUAAUCCAAUGUAAUCAACCUGCCAUGAGGUAGCUGGCUUAUCACCCCAGGGAAUGGUGCUGGCUCUCAGUUUUGGGCUCUACUGCUGGCAGAUCAGGCACUCAGCAUUGGCUGCAGCCAGAUUGACUGUGGUGGGUAGAAGUCCAUGUUACUCAGCCCAUAUAUAACCUCCAUCCCUGCUACUGGCUGCUAUGUUCAUAAGCCAAUGGACAAUGACAAGGGUGGCUAGGGAAAGAGGUUGACUUGUAUCCACAGAAGAGGUCAUCCUAUCCACUUGAUUAUUAAAAAUCCUCUUCUGCAGAGGUCACCCUUUGGUGAGCAUUCACGUAAGAUACAAAUAGCUUUACAUUCUUUGCCCAUUCAGAGAGGUCUAUACUACUAGGUUUCCUGUCACCAGUUUUCCAAUCAUGUUCCAAGUCCCUAACUAUCCAGCCAAACCACUGGCCACAGCUCGUUAAUCAGUAUAGACUUAAGCCUCUGGCCAUGUCUUUUGCAGACAAAAUGAAUGAGCAGGUACUCUGCUCAAAGUUCUUCACCACUGUUCUUCUGGGAUGUCCUAGAAAGGGGCUAUAGUGCUAUAGCUGUCCACUUUUGGGUGGUGCCUGCAUAUUGUGUAGAACCAUCUAUAAACUCAUCCUGAGGGACUGUUCCUCAGUCAGCUGGUCAUAGGGAACUCUCCCUGAGGCCAUAAUUGCAGACUGGGAAGGUAAUGUGACUAUGGUCAUUUAGGGCUACUUUAUUGUACCAGGAAAAAAGAACUAAGCCAGAAAUAGGGAAAAAAUAUAUAUUUAUAUUUAUAUAUGCCAAGUGCUUGCAAAAAUUUUUUUCCAUUGUUAAUAAAAACAUUUAUUUUGCAUUUUAUACAGAACAACCUGAAGUCUGGAUCAUAACUUGACAGUUACCCAGGGGUUUACAGACAAUGUGUCCAUCUCAGUGUGGUUCUGGGGAUUAGGGAAUCCACACAAACAUAGGCAGGAGUUGCAAGAGAAGGAAGGGGGUACAGUAGGAGUGUAUUUCAAUCCUUUCUUAAAGAAAAAGUCUCAAAAAAAAAAAAAAAA
rnacentral:lncRNA from 1 species